AGUUCAGUUUGUGAGUUUUUCUCAMUUAUUUGGCUUUUUCUGUUAUUGCAGAUGUAUGAGAAUUCUGGAGGCUGUGGMAGACAAAAUGUCUGACUUGGAGGUUGCAAUCCCAAGGAAGCCUCCAUCCCUAGGGAAGUUUCCAUCCCUGYAAAGGAAUCAAGGACGAUGGGAUGUGUGGACGCACAAUUACCAGCUGAAAACUGGACCCUCCAUUCGAAUGUGCGUGGAAAACCUGCACCGACUCCACCAUGUGCAUGCYGAGACAGCUCCGAGGCUUUUUAAAGGACUCCUGGCAAAGCUCAGGUUAGUUCCUCUUCCGCUUUAGUUUGGGCACAGUUGGCUUCUCUUCUG
rnacentral:lncRNA from 1 species